GACGAACGCUGGCGGCGUGCCUAAUACAUGCAAGUUGAGCGCUGAAGGUUGGUCCUUGUACCAACUGGAUGAGCAGCGAACGGGUGAGUAACGCGUGGGGAAUCUGCCUUUGAGCGGGGGACAACAUUUGGAAACGAAUGCUAAUACCGCAUAAAAACUUUAAACACAAGUUUUAAGUUUGAAAGAUGCAAUUGCAUCACUCAAAGAUGAUCCCGCGUUGUAUUAGCUAGUUGGUGAGGUAAAGGCUCACCAAGGCGAUGAUACAUAGCCGACCUGAGAGGGUGAUCGGCCACAUUGGGACUGGGACACGGCCCAAACUCCUACGGGAGGCAGCAGUAGGGGAUCUUCGGCGAUGGACGAAAGUCUGACCGAGCAACGCCGCGUGAGUGGAGAAGGUUUUCGGAUCGUGAAACUCUGUUGGUAGAGAAGAACGUUGGUGAGAGUGGAAAGCUCAUCAAGUGACGGUAACUACCCAGAAAGGGACGGCUAACUACGUG
rnacentral:rRNA from 1 species